rnacentral:rRNA from 1 species
UACGUAGGGGGCAAGCGUUGUCCGGAUUUAUUGGGCGUAAAGAGCGUGUAGGCGGCCUGAAAGGUCAGCUGUGAAAACUCGAGGCUCAACCUCGAGACGUCGGUUGAAACCAUCUGGCUAGAGUCCGGAAGAGGAGUGUGGAAUUCCCGGUGUAGCGGUGAAAUGCGCAGAUAUCGGGAAGAACACCAGUGGCGAAGGCGGCGACCUGGUCCUUGACUGACGCUGAGGCGCGAAAGCGUGGGGAGCAAACAGG